rnacentral:rRNA from 1 species
AGAGUUUGAUUAUGGCUCAGAACGAACGCUGGCGGCGUGCCUAACACAUGCAAGUCGAGCGAGAAAGUCCCGGCAACGGGAUGAGUAAGGCGGCAAACGGGUGAGUAACGCGUGGGUAAUCUACCCUACGGAUCGGGAUAACCUGCCGAAAGGUGGACUAAUACCGGAUGAUGUUCUCGCGGUGAUUCCGUGGGAACCAAAGGGGGCGAGCGUAAGCAGCUCUCACCGAAGGAGGAGCCUGCGUCCGAUUAGCUAGUUGGUGGGGUAAUGGCCUACCAAGGCGACGAUCGGUAGCCGGCCUGAGAGGGCGAUCGGCCACACUGGAACUGAGACACGGUCCAGACUCCUACGGGAGGCAGCAGUGGGGAAUAUUGCGCAAUGGGCGAAAGCCUGACGCAGCGACGCCGCGUGGGUGAUGAAGGCCUUCGGGUCGUAAAGCCCUGUCUGGUGGAACGAAACGCCUGGCGGCCAAUACCUGCCGGGUUUGACGGUACCACCGAGGGAAGCCCCGGCUAACUACGUGCCAGCAGCCGCGGUAAGACGUAGGGGGCGAGCGUUGUUCGGAUUUACUGGGCGUAAAGCGCGCGUAGGCGGCCAGAUAAGUCGGGUGUGAAAGCCCUCGGCUCAACCGAGGUUCCGCAUCCGAUACUGCUUGGCUGGAGUCUAGGAGAGGAGAGCGGAAUUCCCAGUGUAGCGGUGAAAUGCGUAGAUAUUGGGAGGAACACCCGUGGCGAAGGCGGCUCUCUGGACUAGUACUGACGCUGAGGCGCGAAAGCUAGGGGAGCGAACGGGAUUAGAUACCCCGAUAGUCCUAGCCGUAAACGAUGGGCACUAGGUGUGGGAGGUAUUGACCCCUUCCGCGCCGAAGCUAACGCAUUAAGUGCCCCGCCUGGGGAGUACGGCCGCAAGGCUAAAACUCAAAGGAAUUGACGGGGGCCCGCACAAGCGGUGGAGCAUGUGGUUCAAUUCGACGCAACGCGAAGAACCUUACCAGGGCUUGACAUCCCACGAACCUGCCUGAAAGGGCGGGGUGCCCGCAAGGGAGCGUGGAGA